rnacentral:misc_RNA from 1 species
GUAGGUGAACCUGCGGAAGGAUCAUUACCGAGUCAGGGUCUUUUAGGCCCGAAACUCCAACCCUGUGUCUAUCUACCACGUUGCUUUGGCGGGCCCGCCUUCACGGGCCGCUGGGGGCCUUUUGACCCCUGGCCCGCGCCCGUCAGUAGCCCCCAACAAACCCUUUGUAACAGUGAUGUCUGAGUUUAAAUAUAAUCGUUAAAAAACUUUCAACAACGGAUCUCUUGGUUCUG